ACUUAAAGGUCUGAAGAUACUGGUACUUGUACAGGUGGCCCUUAUCAUUAUUUUUCUGGUUUCGCGAAAAUUAUAUCGCCGAUCCAGGUCUAAAAGAAGACAUUCGCGUUGAGAAUUGAUCCCAGGAUUAUUGUUCCUCUAUCUUUUGUUGUCUCGUAAUUAUUGAAUCUAACUUUGGAGUGCAGUUGUGCUCCACAAUGUUUCUGAAGGUCCA
rnacentral:misc_RNA from 1 species